AGAACGAACGCUGGCGGCAGGCCUAACACAUGCAAGUCGAACGAUACAGUGGCAGACGGGUGAGUAACGCGUGGGAACGUACCUUUCACUACGGAAUAGCUCCGGGAAACUGGUGGUAAUACCGUAUACGCCCUCAGGGGGAAAGAUUUAUCGGUGAAAGAUCGGCCCGCGUUGGAUUAGCUAGUUGGUGAGGUAAUGGCUCACAAAGGCGACGAUCCAUAGCUGGUCUGAGAGGAUGAUCAGCCACAUUGGGACUGAGACACGGCCCAAACUCCUACGGGAGGCAGCAGUGGGGAAUCUUGCACAAUGGGCGAAAGCCUGAUGCAGCCAUGCCGCGUGAAUGAUGAAGGCCUUAGGGUUGUAAAAUUCUUUCGUCAGGGAUGAUAAUGACCGUACCUGAAGAAGAAGCCCCGGCUAACUUCGUGCCAGCAGCCGCGGUAAUACGAAGGGGGCUAGCGUUGUUCGGAAUUACUGGGCGUAAAGCGCACGUAGGCGGACUUUUAAGUCAGGUGUGAAAUCCCGGGGCUCAACCUCGGAACUGCAUUUGAAACUGGGAGUCUUGAGACCAGGAGAGGUUAGCGGAAUACCGAGUGUAGAGGUGAAAUUCGUAGAUAUUCGGUGGAACACCAGUGGCGAAGGCGGCUAACUGGACUGGUACUGACGCUGAGGUGCGAAAGUGUGGGGAGCAAACAGGAUUAGAUACCCUGGUAGUCCACACCGUAAACGAUGAGAGCUAGUUGUUGGCAGGCAUGCCUGUCGGUGACGCAGCUAACGCAUUAAGCUCUCCGC
rnacentral:rRNA from 1 species